GAGGCACUCAAACACCUGCAGAAGAUCAAAGUAGGGAUUCCCCAAAGACCUCAUCUUUAUCGCGCUCCCCACCAUGUUCCUUGACCAAUUUGCUUUCACUACACAUGGAGGAAGAAUGCACCAACCUCAAACCAUAUUCCAAACAUUCCACCAAUUAAAUAGCUUUAAAAGCAGCAGUAAUAGCGAAGCACUAAGCACCAGAUCCUCUGUGACGAUUUAACCAAAUACCAGACAUGUAACGGGAUCUCUAACUGCAGUCUGUAAAAACAUUGGCAGUGUUUACUGAGAUCUUCAGUUUAUGCUCUCAGGUUGCCAUAACAUAACAAACUCCUCUUUUUUUUCAGUAGCACAGAGAUAAACCCUGUUUGUGGGAGCUGUUAUUCCUGUUUAGCUUUGCACACUGGUGAUACAGCCAAGAGAGAAAGCAGAGGGCUGCAGGCAGCCUUAAUUUCUUGAGCCAAACCUGAGCUCUGAAAAAUCAGACUUGAACUGGCAGCAUUUAUAUAGGACAGCAUGUGGUCCUUUUACUCUGGUAUGUGAGGCAAAAUCUCAGCACAGCUCUGCAAUGGCUUCACGUAUCCUCAGAAGUGCAUCUUGCCUUCCAUCCAUGGCUCACUCAGCCCCACAACUGUAAUGCUAAGCCAUGAACUGGAACUUCAAACAACUGAGCAGUUCAGAGACAAGCUCUGGAAAUGACCAAAGAAUGGGGGAAGACUCGGAGCUCAGUCCUUCAAGAGAUUAAAUAGUGCCUUGAUGAUACCUUGUAAGUUCCUUCCAUGAAGGAAUUGGAACAAUAAAGGGUUCACUGCUC